ACACCACUCCCACGUGAGACCUGCUAAUAAAAAAAAAAGACCAGGAGCGGUGCCAGGACCAGUGGAAAGCAACUGCAGACCCAAAGAAUCCUCUGAAGAUCAGACUGACCCAAGUGGCGGCGACAGCCCAGGACCGCUGACACAGACUUGGACUGGGGUUGUGGCAUCUAAAGAUUGACUGAGUUGGCCAGGCGUGGUGGCUCACGCCUGUAAUCCUAG